AUUGAACGCUGGCGGCGUGCUUAACACAUGCAAGUCGAACGAAGUGGCGAACGGGUGAGUAACGCGUAAUCAACCUGCCCUUCAGAGGGGGACAACAGUUGGAAACGACUGCUAAUACCGCAUACUGAAGGAGGGGAUUGCGUCUGAUUAGCUAGUUGGAGGGGUAACGGCCCACCAAGGCGAUGAUCAGUAGCAGGGCUGAGAGGAUGAACGGCAACAUUGGGACUGAGACACGGACCAGACGUCUACGGGAGGCAGCAGUGGGGAAUCGUCCGCAAUGGACGAAAGUCUGACGAAGCAACGACGCGUGAGUGAUGACGGCCUUCGGGUUGGAAAGCUCUGUUAAUCGGGACGCGGUACCGGAAUAGAAAGCCACGGCUAACUACGUGCCAGCAGCCGCGGUAAUUC
rnacentral:rRNA from 1 species